rnacentral:rRNA from 1 species
AAUUUUUUAUGGAGAGUUUGAUCCUGGCUCAGGAUGAACGCUGGCGGCGUGCCUAAUACAUGCAAGUCGAGCG